AUUGAACGCUGGCGGCAGGCCUAACACAUGCAAGUCGAGCGGAUGAAGGGAGCUUGCUCCUGGAUUCAGCGGCGGACGGGUGAGUAAUGCCUAGGAAUCUGCCUGGUAGUGGGGGAUAACGUCCGGAAACGGGCGCUAAUACCGCAUACGUCCUGAGGCAGAAAGUGGGGGAUCUUCGGACCUCACGCUAUCAGAUGAGCCUAGGUCGGAUUAGCUAGUUGGUGGGGUAAAGGCCUACCAAGGCGACGAUCCGUAACUGGUCUGAGAGGAUGAUCAGUCACACUGGAACUGAGACACGGUCCAGACUCCUACGGGAGGCAGCAGUGGGGAAUAUUGGACAAUGGGCGAAAGCCUGAUCCAGCCAUGCCGCGUGUGUGAAGAAGGUCUUCGGAUUGUAAAGCACUUUAAGUUGGGAGGAAGGGCAGUAAGUUAAUACCUUGCUGUUUUGACGUUACCAACAGAAUAAGCACCGGCUAACUUCGUG
rnacentral:rRNA from 1 species